ensembl:rRNA 5S_rRNA 5S ribosomal RNA
GCUUACCGCCAUACCACACUGCGCACGCCCGAUCUCUUCCGAUCUCAGAAGCGAACCAGUGUCGGGCCUGGUUAGUACUUGGUUGGGAGACCGCCUGGGAUUACCAGGUGCUGUAAACU